rnacentral:rRNA from 1 species
CCCCGAUAGGUCUCGAUUGCUGGAAUGCAUCGAGAUUUAAAGCUCCGGCGCCUAAGGAUGGGUCUGCGGCCUAUCAGGUAGUAGUGGGUGUAGCGUACAUACUAGCAUACGACGGGUACGGGUUGUGAGAGCAAGAGCCCGGAGAUGGAUUCUGAGACACGAAUCCAGGCCCUACGGGGUGCAGCAGGCGCGAAAACUUUACAAUGCUGGCAACAGCGAUAAGGGAACCUCGAGUGCCAGGUUACAAAUCUGGCUGUCGAGAUGCCUAAAAAGCAUUUCAUAGCAAGGGCCGGGCAAGACCGGUGCCAGCCGCCGCGGUAACACCGGCGGCUCGAGUGGUAACCGUUAUUAUUGGGUCUAAAGGGUCUGUAGCCGGCCGGAUAAGUCUCUUGAGAAAUCUGGCAGCUUAACUGUCAGGCUUUCAGGAGAUACUGUCUGGCUCGAGGCCGGGAGAGGUGAGAGGUACUUCAGGGGUAGGGGUGAAAUCUUGUAAUCCUUGAAGGACCACCAGUGGCGAAGGCGUCUCACCAGAACGGACCUGACGGCAAGGGACGAAAGCUAGGGGCACGAACCGGAUUAGAUACCCGGGUAGUCCUAGCCGUAAACGAUACUCGCUAGGUGUCGGCCACGGUGCGACCGUUGUCGGUGCCGUAGGGAAGCCGUGAAGCGAGCCACCUGGGAAGUACGGCCGCAAGGCUGAAACUUAAAGGAAUUGGCGGGGGAGCACCACAACGGGUGGAGCUUGCGGUUUAAUUGGAUUCAACGCCGGAAAUCUUACCGGGACCGACAGCAAUAUGAAGGCCAGGCUGAAGACUUUGCCGGAUUAGCUGAGAGGUGGUGCAUGGCCGUCGUCAGUUCGUACUGUGAAGCAUCCUGUUAAGUCAGGCAACGAGCGAGACCCA